UACGUAGGUGGCAAGCGUUGUCCGGAAUUAUUGGGCGUAAAGCGCGCGCAGGCGGUCCUUUAAGUCUGAUGUGAAAGCCCACGGCUCAACCGUGGAGGGUCAUUGGAAACUGGGGGACUUGAGUACAGAAGAGGAAAGCGGAAUUCCACGUGUAGCGGUGAAAUGCGUAGAGAUGUGGAGGAACACCAGUGGCGAAGGCGGCUUUCUGGUCUGUAACUGACGCUGAGGCGCGAAAGCUAGGGGAGCGAACGGG
rnacentral:rRNA from 1 species